GUGCACCAGUCGAGAAACUUUACAAUGUGCGAAAGCACGAUAAGGGAACUCUGAGUGCCUCCUAAGGAGGCUGUUCAGGUGUCUAAAAGCACCUGAAGGAAGGGCUGGGUAAGACCGGUGCCAGCCGCCGCGGUAACACCGGCAGCCCAAGUGGUAGCCACGUUUAUUGGGUCUAAAGCGUCCGUAGCCGGCUGGGUAAGUUCCUUGGGAAAUUUGGCUGCUUAACAGUCAAGCUUUCAGGGAAUACUGCCCGGCUUGGGACCGGGAGAGGUCAGAGGUACUCCAGGGGUAGGGGUGAAAUCCAUUAAUCCUUGGGGGACCACCGGUAGCGAAGGCGUCUGACCAGACCGGGUCCGACGGUGAGGGACGAAGGCUAGGGGCGCGAACCGGAUUAGAUACCCGUGUAGU
rnacentral:rRNA from 1 species